rnacentral:lncRNA from 1 species
GCUCCAGGCACGUGCCAGAGUGCUCCCCAUGCUGUAAACUAUUGGUCUUUACAGAGAGCUGGGAGAAGGCACUGUUUUUUGCAUUUUACAGAAUAUGCAGAGAGGUUCAGCGACCUGCCCCAGGCCACACAGAGGCACAAAGAUGCAGACCUGUGGUGUCUGCAUUGGGGACUCCUGUAGUGUCGCAAGGGGAAUGGCAUCCACAAAGUUCCCGACAGGUAGACCCAGGACACUUAGGUAAGGUCCCAAGCCGUGUGUCCCAAGGGACGGGCUUCUUUCCAUCCCUGGCUCGGCCUCUCUCCCCGGAACCAGAGGUGCCCCAGGAGGGAGGCUGAAGGUAACGCGACACCUGGAUACCAAACAUCCUCAUAGCGACCUUUCUGGAUGAUCAGCCACAAAGCGGAGGUGAGAAAUGGGAGCUGGAGCAGUCAGGGCCAGGCUCCCAGAGCCAACCCCGAGGCUAUGGAGUGGCACAGUGGUCCUGGCCACAGAAGGGCAGGCAUAGAUGUUUUCUGCACAGCCUCACUCCAUGUCUUGGGAGGGGUAUCAGAGAGGGUAGAGACUGGGAAAGGACUGUGAGGAAAUUCACAAGCUCAUUGUGACUGGGAGAGCCCCGCGGGAUAACACCCAGCAUGUCAGGGAUGCACUGGAGCCGUGGCCCCAGAAAUCUGGAAACGAACCCUUGAUUCCAGACAACCAGGGCUGGCUCUGAGGUGCAGCGCUGAGCAAGGCUGGUGGCUCCUGCCUGCCCAGAGCUCACGCUGCAGUGGAGGUGACAUGGCACCUGGGUAUGUGACAGCCUCCAUGCGGUGACAGGAGGGCACCUGCUGACACCUCCCCCUCAGGGGCCAGUGUGACAUGUGAACAGGUCCCUGUGUCCCAGCAGCGAGCAGGUCCUGAUCCACACACGGACGACUGAAGGACUGCACUUCUGAAGUGGGGGACAGGGAGGGGAGGGGCAGGAGAGGAAGGAAGAGGAGGAGCCGCUGGACUUGACUUUUUUUAUGGCUUUGCCCAGCAAGGAAGUCUGGAAUUCACAUUAACAUAAACUAUAAACGCAGAAUCAGUUGAUAAGGACAGUUAGUGAGGAGAUGGUCUUUUGGGGAUAAAAUCUGGCAGGAUUGCUGACCUGGACUCCAUCAUCUAAAGUUUUCACACACAAUGACCAUUACGUUGUGAUGCAUAAAACAAGUAACUUAAUAUGUAUUUUUGUCUGAUUACAAAAGCAUUGUGUUCACUUUGGAAAAUAUAGAAAAUAAAAAUAAAAUAUACUUUAACAGCA